CAGGGCAGUUCAGCUGCCAGAGGCCAGGCAACAACAUUGCCUGCCUGGAGGGCUGCUGGUAUCAUCUGGAGGGCAGCCUGCAGUGGCCCAGACAGAGCUAGGGGGGUGCUAGAGCAUGUCUCCCAGCUUGCCAGCCAAUGCCGAGGACACCUGAAUGCAGUGCUAAUCUAACGUAACUAGGUGGUGGUUGCGUGUCUAUUUAGACCUGGAGCAUAUAAAAGGAGCUGCGUGCCCAGCGCAAGGGGCAGAUACAGUGAGGGUCUCAAGAAGAGUGGAGCUAAGAAAAGCUGGGAAGCCCUCCUUCAGCAGGCAAUAAGCCCAAGGCUCCUGAAGUUGCCACUAGAGGAGCAGCCUUGGAAGUGGUGCAAGAGCGCUCGGGCUGUUGAUGACGCACAGGGACAGUGCAUGGAGACCUGGCCCUGGGAGUGGCGUGAGACUGCUCAGGCCCAUCAUGGUGCACAGUUUAGUGCACAGAGCCCAGGCUUUGAAAGCCACAAGCAGCGGCUUGAGCCUGCAACCCUGGGAAGGCCUUGGGGGCCACAGUAAGGUGGCUCAGGCUCUAUCUCCCGGCAAGCAGCCAGGUCCCAUGGUGUGCAGGGCGGUGCACAGGCCCAAGCCUUGGGAGCCAGGGAGCAGCGGAGGCUGCUUGAGCUAACCACCCAGCCUGAGGCUGGCUGGCUGGAGCCUGAAGGGCCCAGCCUCUGCUAAGAGAGCCCUCGGUGCUGAGCCAGGGCAUGGGGAAAUGGUAGUGCUGCAGCAUUAGGCCCAGCACCCAAGAACCAGCAGCAGAGGCGCAGCAGCUGAGAGGAGCUGAGCCCUCGAUGCCCAGAGCGGGGCACAGGGUGGGGAGGAGACCAACAGCAUGGGAGAGGCCUGGAAAGGCACACCAGCAGAGGAGACCUGAUCGAGUUGUGCCCUGACCACUGCCACCUGAGGGAGUGUGAGUCAUUGGGCUCUUGGGUCCCACAGGGGAAAGACAUUUGGGGCAGGCAAACCCAGAGAAGGGGCUGGGUGAGUAGCCCCCUACCUAGUCAAGGCACUAAGGGUAGGGGCCCCUGGUGCUUCUUGGACAACUCCCCCCCUCCCCCCCCCAGGGACCCCUUUGGAAGGAGGACUAUCUCUUGCCAUGAGUCAGGGACUAGUUUAAGAAUAGAUAAUAUUAAGAUUAUUCAUGUUUGUGCCUUAUAUUUUGUAAUUGAAAUAUUGUGUUGUGAUGUUGUAGAUAGUGUUAUUUAGGGUUUGACCUUGGUUAUUGGUUAGUGUUCACUGUGUAAAUAUAUGUAUAUGAUAUUUAGUUUUAU